CACAAGUGUGUGGGUAUACCUUUUUAAUGCUUGGUUAUCACUGAAAGAGCCGCAUAAGCAAACAAGAGGUGAUCCCCACCAUGGAUGAUUUAGCAGAAUGAUGAGUUAUGCUGUGUGUGUACCAUGUGAUGUCACCGCUCUGAAGUGCAGACUGUGCAGCGAGUUCUGUUACAACACCCAGGCAUGAAAACAUAAAAAGCAUUUCUCCAACAAGUACUGGAUGCAGCCAAACUUUCCUAAACCUGACCUUUUACUUGGCUCAUUUGACUUCCAAAGCAUUCGGAUCAUGCACUGAGCUUUGCCAAUGCUUCAAUGAAUAGACACACUCCAAUAUUUUAAUGCUUAUGCUCAGGCUUUGAUUGGCACUUCUGCCUGGUUCCUUAUCGCUUUCGCCCUCAUCUUUUAUGUAUUUUGCUCACGUCAUAUAGCAGUAUAGAUAAAACAAAAUGACACCACAAAAAAAAGAGAUAAGUAUAUAAAAGGGGUGUCUAGUCUUCUAUAAAGAAAAAGCAGAAUAAAAAACUUUCAGAUCUGAAAGACUCUCAAGUAGAUGGAGUCUUUAAAAUGAUCUAUGAAAACACAAAAGCCGUAGAAGCGACUAGUAAACCAAAUAAAAUCCAGGCAGCAGCGAAUGAUGAAAAGCUGGGGGGGCACAAAGGACGUUAGGCAAGAUGGAUGUUUGUUUUAUCUUUUAAGUGUAUAAAAAUUAAAAUAAUAUGCCGAUACAGCACAAUUGUUACAAGUAUAAUAGCUAAGCUGCGCAUAAUCAAAUGGAUUUUCAAGACGAACCAUAAACUGUUAUCACCCCACAAAGGUUAAGAAAUCUUGCAUAAUGUCUGAGAGUAAACACUAAAAAUGUCUGAUGAACGCAGCAGAUGGAAGAGUUUUUUUGAUGCCGUUUAUAGAGACUGGGGAUAAAAAAUGCACUUACUUUGUCAGCCAGUCAUUUUGGUUAUAAAGACUUCUGAUGGAUUACUCAGUGGGAUUACGGUUAAUAAUAAAAAUAAAUAAUGAUGACAAAUUGUAAUAUUACAUCACUUUCUUUAAUUCAGAACCAAAUUUUGAAGGACCAACAGUUAA